rnacentral:rRNA from 1 species
UGGGGAAUAUUGCACAAUGGGCGCAAGCCUGAUGCAGCCAUGCCGCGUGUGUGAAGAAGGCCUUCGGGUUGUAAAGCACUUUCAGCGAGGAGGAAGGGUAGUGUGUUAAUAGCACAUUGCAUUGACGUUACUCGCAGAAGAAGCACCGGCUAACUCCGUGCCAGCAGCCGCGGUAAUACGGAGGGUGCAAGCGUUAAUCGGAAUUACUGGGCGUAAAGCGCACGCAGGCGGUUUGUUAAGUCAGAUGUGAAAGCCCCGCGCGUAACGGGGGAACUGCAUUGGAAACUGGCAAGCUAGAGUCUUGUAGAGGGGGGUAGAAUUCCAGGUGUAGCGGGGAAAUGCGUAGAGAUCUGGAGGAAUACCGGUGGCGAAGGCGGCCCCCUGGACAAAGACUGACGCUCAGGUGCGAAAGCGUGGGGAGCAAACA